UACAGAGGGGGCUAGCGUUAUUCGGAAUUAUUGGGCGUAAAGGGCGCGUAGGCGGCCAUGCGUGUCUUCCGUGAAAUCCCUCGGCUUAACUGAGGACGUGCGGAAGAAACUGCGAGGCUCGAGUCCGGGAGAGGGGGGUGGAAUUCCCAGUGUAGCGGUGAAAUGCGUAGAUAUUGGGAGGAACACCGGUGGCGAAGGCGGCCCCCUGGACCGGAACUGACGCUGAGGCGCGAAAGCGUGGGUAGCAAACGGG
rnacentral:rRNA from 1 species